rnacentral:piRNA from 1 species
UGGCAAGCCACUGGCCGAACAAAUGUCU